CACGGAUUGGGUGUACCAGACGGUGGAACCAGGUUGUCCAUGUGGCUGCGAGCCUGGCGGCACAGGUAGCUGAAGGUGAUAACUCUUCCAUUCUUUAGCAUCAGAGAAAUCCCAGGAGUUCCUAAAUUUGCCACAGCCUUCCCACAGCAGCGUGUUCAGAGGGGACACGUUCUGUUUUCAGUUCAGGUGGUGUAAUGGUGGUUUGGACUUAGAGAAGUGAAUCUAUCUUCACAGCACUGAGUAAGAAGACCCCAUCUGGCUGAGAACUCGUAAGCAGUCCUGUUACAUCUUCUGAUCUUGCUCCUGGCUGAUUAAUCUUACUGAAGAGUAAGAGGUGUAUGGAAAAAAACAAACUUGAGGAAAAAAAUGUUUCUACGGUAACCCUGAGAAAUCUCUUUAAAAGGAAUUUGUUUCCUGUUUGACCCUCAUCUGUGAGUACAUUUGGAUUUCAUUGUGCAUACAAAAUAUCUGGUGGUUGCAUUUCACACAGUUCCUCUGUAGAACCACUGGAAAUGUAAACAAGGUGCCAAAAGCUGAACUGCAGAGGGCAUAUGAGGAGUCUCUCAGCCUGGGGACAUGAACCCGUUCUGCUAAUCAGAGGAACAGGAUUGCAUCCAUUAUCACAAAUUACAGUCUCCCUUCUAUCCACAGAAGAGCUGCAGAGCCCAUAACAGGCAGGAUGAUUCAACUUUUUUUAAAAAUUUUUAUUUUUAUUUUAUUUUUUUUAGUCAUUGACCCAUUCUUGCUCUUUACCAUAAUACUAGAGUAUCCCAGAGUUCCUGUGUAUAAAGCUCAUGCCAUUUUAGAGGAACGAAGCCCUAUUACAGUGUCUGUGUUCAUUACAGAAACGAUAGCAUCAGUGACCUUGAACAGAAACCUUAAGGUGGCAACUGUCUGCACUGUUCUGUUUGCCAGACAACCACCCCCACGACCACUCCAUACAGAGCUGUUGUGGCCAGUUUUGCAAACAAUGUGCAAAAACUCUUGUGCUUGGUGGGAGGGGGCGUCGGUAUGUGUCAGAACUGAAUGCGUCACCCAAGUGAGUGCUUCUGGAUCCACUUGGUUGUGCUUCUCUGUAAAGUGUUUACAUAAGUGCACCCAAAAUAAAUUAUGUUCUGAUUACUUCA